rnacentral:lncRNA from 1 species
UUGCAUCGUGUUUGGUCAUUUUGAAAGUAUACUUGUGUGCUUGAACUCUAACUCUUAUCUUUUUAUCCCAUUUUACAUAUAAACUUGGGAGUUGAGUUUCAAUCGAAACUCAAGUUUAACCCAAAGAUCGGGUCAACGGAUAUAGGAUUAUAGAGCACGGGGUGUAAAUCGCUAGGAGCCGAUUUGUCAUCACCCAAACCGGGACUCUGAUCG